rnacentral:rRNA from 1 species
UACGGAGGGUGCGAGCGUUGUCCGGAAUCACUGGGCGUAAAGGGCGCGUAGGCGGCCUGAUAAGUAGGGGGUGAAAUCCUGCGGCUUAACCGCAGGGCUGCCUUCUAAACUGUCAGGCUAGAGCACAGUAGAGGCAGGUGGAAUUCCCGGUGUAGCGGUGGAAUGCGUAGAGAUCGGGAGGAACACCAGAAGCGAAGGCGACGACCUGGAUAGAUACUGACACUCAACUGCGAAAGCGUGGGGAGCAAACAGG